GUGCCAGCCGCCGCGGUAACCCCAGCGCCACAAGUGGGAACCAUGUUUAUUGGGUCUAAAGCAUCCGUAGCCGGUUCUGCAAAUACCCUGUGAGAUCGUCCCGCUCAACGGGGCGGCGUGCAGGGUAGACUACAGGACUAGGGACCAGGUGAGGUGGACGGUAUUCCGUGGGGAGCGGUAAAAUGUGAUAAUCCUCGGAGGACCACCAAUGGCGAAGGCAGUUCACCAAAACGGAUCCGACGGUGAGGGAUGAAAGCUAGGGGAGCGAUCCGGAUUAGAUACCCGAGUAGUCCUAGCUGUAAACUCUGCGUGCCAGAUGUUGCGUAAUCUCCGAGAUUGCGCAGUGUCGUAACGAAGGUGUUAAGCACGCCACCUGGGAAGUACGGUCGCAAGGCUGAAACUUAAAGGAAUUGGCGGGGAGACACCACAACGGGUGCGGCGUGCGGUUUAAUCGUAUUCAACACCGAGAAUCUCACCAGGGGCGACGGCACAAUGACGCUCAGUCUUAAGGGCUUAGCUGAGGAGCCGAGAGGUGGUGCAUGGCCGCCGUCAGCUCGUGCCGUGAGGUGUCCUGUUAAGUCAGGCAACGAGCGAGACCUGUAUCCAUCGUUGCUAACGCGUUCGCAAGAAUGAGCGAGCACACUAUGGAGACUGCCUUGGAAACAAGGAGGAAGGUGCAGGCUACGGCAGGUCUGU
rnacentral:rRNA from 1 species